rnacentral:lncRNA from 1 species
GAACAGCAACAGCGGCGCGUUAAGUUUCCCUCCUUUGGCUGUCUGGCUGCAGCAGAUACGCUAUCAGUGAUACAGGGGGCGGCUAAAGCUCACCCUUGUGCCGGGGACAGGGGGAUCCGCUUCCCUGCGGGGACUCUAGGACUUCACAGUAAGUUGGACGCCAGGUCCCGAGAGGCACAGCGUGUCCGGGAAACUUUAGUGAGAGACAGGUCAGCCCCCCUCGGCUGCCGGGUCCCCGAGUCUCUCUCGCUGCCUCCCGGCUCCGGGGGGCUGCUCGGCGGUUCACGUGCGUGUUCGGGUCUCUUCACAUGGAGCCGCUGCCCCCUCGCUUCCCCCCGGGCCGGUCUCUCUGCUGCCGCCGUCCGGGAGAGGAGGCGAGUGGCUCGGGCCGCGGCCCCCGCUCCGCGCUCCCUCUCAUACACUCGGGCACCGGGAGCCGCCGCACCCGGCUCCAGCGGCCGGGGCGCUGCUAGGGCCCCAGCCAGGCAGCGCGGGGAACCCAGGCGGCCGGGCUCAGCGCCGCUCCCACUCUGGUCUCAGGCAUGUGUGAGUCUCUGCGCGGGGCGCUCCGCAGGCAGAGGCGGGCGGCAGCCGCCACGCGUGGGUGCCCGGUACCUCCUCGGCCGGAGCCCUACGGCUGUGGCGGGAGGGGGCGCUGGGGAGGCCGGUCCGGGCUACAGCUCGCGCCUCGGGUCCGCUUGUUUUCUGUGUCUCACACAGAGCGAUUGGUGCGGGAGGAGAGAGGGGAAGAGGACGGCGGCGCACGGGGAUGACAGGCGUAACCAGGCAACAGCCCCCACCUCUCUGCCGGCGCCCGGCGAUUACGUCAGAGAAGGACAAGGUGGCGCGGAGUGGGUAGCGUUGUUGCUGGAUGGUUCAGGCCAGGACAAGGGGGAGGAGCCUGAGCGCAGAGACCCAGACGCAGCCAAAGCGCCGGGCUGCUGGCGGAGGAAUCGGCUCUGGGAGAAGUUUAACCCCCGCGGUCCCGAGGGCAGCAGCCCCUGGGAGGUGACUGGCGAGGCUGGGCUGAAGCCGAGGGGACGCCGGGCUGAGCCGUGCGCCCCGUGGGCCCGGAGCUGGUGCAGUAAUCCCUGUGCAGCGCUGGCCCCUCACUAG